GUACCUACGGGGGGCAGCAGUCGGGAAUAUUGCGCAAUGGAGGAAACUCUGACGCAGUGACGCCGCGUAUAGGACGAAGGUCUUCGGAUUGUAAACUAUUGUCGUUAGGGAAGAGAAAGGACAGUACCUAAGGAGGAAGCUCCGGCUAACUACGUGCCAGCAGCCGCGGUAAUACGUAGGGAGCAAGCGUUAUCCGGAUUUACUGGGUGUAAAGGGAGCGCAGGCGGCACGGCAAGCCUGAUGUGAAAGCCCGCGGCCCAACCGCGGGACUGCAUUGGGAACUACCGGGCUGGAGUGCCGGAGAG
rnacentral:rRNA from 1 species